UCCAAAGCAUAGUGUGCUGCCUUGCAAGC
rnacentral:sRNA from 1 species